rnacentral:tRNA from 1 species
GGGCCUGUAGCUCAGCGGUAGAGCAGGGGACUCAUAAUCCCUUGGUCGCAGGUUCGAAUCCUGCCGGGCCCA